UACGGAGGGUGCAAGCGUUAUCCGGAUUUACUGGGUUUAAAGGGUGCGUAGGAGGGCAGGUAAGUCAGUGGUGAAAUCUCCAAGCUUAACUUGGAAACUGCCGUUGAUACUAUCUGUCUUGAAUAUUGUGGAGGUGAGCGGAAUAUGUCAUGUAGCGGUGAAAUGCUUAGAUAUGACAUAGAACACCAAUUGCGAAGGCAGCUCACUACACAAUCAUUGACUCUGAGGCACGAAAGCGUGGGGAUCAAACAGG
rnacentral:rRNA from 1 species